rnacentral:rRNA from 1 species
CCUACGGGUGGCAGCAGUGAGGAAUAUUGGUCAAUGGUCGGGAGACUGAACCAGCCAAGCCGCGUGAGGGAGGAAGGUACAGAGUAUCGUAAACCUCUUUUGUCAGGGAACAAAGGCGGGGACGUAUCCCCGGAUGAUGGUACCUGAAGAAAAAGCAUCGGCUAACUCCGUGCCCGCAGCAGCGGUAAUACGGAGGAUGCGAUCGUUAUCCGGAUUUCUUGGGUUUAAAGGGUGCGCAGGCGGUCUGUUAAGUCAGCGGUCAAAGCCCGGGGCUCAACCCCGGCCCGCCGUUGAAACUGGCAGUCGCGAGUUGGAGAGAAGUAUGCGGAAUGCGCGGUGUAGCGGUGAAAUGCAUAGAUAUCGCGCAGAACUCCGAUUGCGAAGGCAGCAUGCCGGCUCCACACUGACGCUGAGGCACGAAAGCGUGGGUAUCGAACAGGAUUAGAUACCCGAGUAGUC